CGCCACCGAGGGUUUGGAGGCAGUCGCCAUCCAGCAACAACGGAGGAGGGCAGAGGAGCGACGCUCACAACUUGUAACUUUAAACUAUUCAACUGAAUCCUUCAUUUUACCAGAAAGAGAGAGAGAGAGAGAGGACGACUCAGAGGUGCCAGGAGGAAGAGGAACUACUGACGAGGAGAGGGAAUGCAGCAGCAGCAGCCACGCGGUGACCGGCCGGGCGCUACCCGAUAAUUGGCCACGCUCUGCGUGCCUCUACAUAUUAAGAUGUCCAAAUCAAUAGCGGCGGUGUGUCGUCCGAGGGGCCUGUGGCUCAAGCGGCAUGCAGGGAGCGGGAGGAGGGAAGGGCAGCGCCUCAUCCACAUGCCCUGCCACGGUCAACCCGAUUCGUUGAAAUCUCUUAGGGCAGCAAUGCAGCCGGCGCGAUUUGUUGAUCGGACCGAGACCAUCCAUCAACAAACCUCGCAAACACCGGAAAACCCUGCCGCCGUUCUGAAUAUCGAGCGGCGUCUGGAGAAACGUGGGAUUCAAACUGUGGACCUCGAGCGGGCACUGGUUCCACGCACCUGACCCUCAGACCCCCCCUCCCCAACUCAGCCCCCUCAAUUAAUCAUUAAUAUACUUCACGCGGCUUCACAACAUCAAAAGGAGCAACAAAGACAAAUAUCCCCCGUAUAGCCCGUAACAGGAUGUUGGGGUAAGUGCUGUUAGCGAACACCUAUUAAG